UACGUAGGGUGCGAGCGUUGUCCGGAAUUAUUGGGCGUAAAGAGCUCGUAGGCGGUCUGUCGCGUCUGCUGUGAAAACCCGAGGCUCAACCUCGGGCCUGCAGUGGGUACGGGCAGACUAGAGUGCGGUAGGGGAGAUUGGAAUUCCUGGUGUAGCGGUGGAAUGCGCAGAUAUCAGGAGGAACACCCGUGGCGAAAGCGGCUCUCUGGGACGGUACUGACGCUGAGACGCGAAAGCGUGGGGAGCAAACAGG
rnacentral:rRNA from 1 species